UACGGAGGGGGCAAGCGUUGUCCGGACUUACUGGGCGUAAAGCGUCCGUAGGCGGAAUGGUGCGUCGCUGCUCAAAGCGCUCGGCUUAACCGAGCGAGGCGUGGCGAUACGACCAAUCUUGAGGGAGGCAGAGGAUGGCGGAAUUCCGGGUGUAGUGGUGAAAUGCGUAGAGAUCCGGAGGAACGCCUGUGGCGCAAGCGGCCAUCUGGGCCUUUCCUGACGCUGAGGGACGAAAGCGUGGGGAGCAAAC
rnacentral:rRNA from 1 species